UGCAUUCACUACUGUAAGUCGCUCUGGAUAAGAGCGUCUGCUAGAUGACUAAAA
rfam:Salmo salar isolate Sally breed double haploid chromosome ssa28, whole genome shotgun sequence.